ACCUGCACUGAGUUUUAAUUAGUGGGUUCAUUUUUUGGAUCAGUAACUGCAGCUUGGGAUGGUAUUUGGCUUUUGACCAGUGGCCUGUGACACCGACCACGGCUCUGCGAUUGGCUAAUUUGGCUAAGCCAACUGGUGACCAAUUACUCUUUUCAAAAUCUCACCUGGCAAGAAGACAUGUUUUUCCUACUCUAAAAAGUUCGCCAUCUUUGAAAUCCUGAGUUAACUGAUCAAGACCUUCAAUCUCUGUGUCGCCCUUACGACAACAUCGAAAGGGUUUUGUGACAGACUACCCUCAAUAAAGAACCCUAUGGAAUUG